ACCCUGCAUAGCUCAAUUGGUAGAUCAUGAGACUCUCAAUCUCAAGGUCGUGGGUUUGAGCCCCACGUUGGGCA